rnacentral:lncRNA from 1 species
CCUGCCCGUCUAACUUAGGUACUUCCCUCUGCAGCCAGCGUAAUCUUUCUAGAACACGUGUACCGGUAAUUACUGCUUCCACCCCCAGUUCUAGGCAAAGAGCAAGGCCGUUGCGCUCGUCUGCCUCGGAAAGUGGCUCCUCAGUGCCCUCAGACAAGUAAGUGUCAACUGUGCAGCAGACCUCUCAGAUCCAGGCAGCAUGUCCCUGCUCACCACUAGGCCCAUCUCAGCAGUCCAGGUGGACAUCCCCUGGAGCCUCUGUCACUCCCCCUCCGGGCACGGUGGCUCACGCCUGUAAUCCC